rnacentral:lncRNA from 1 species
GAAACCAAGGGUUACAUUUAACAUUCUCAGGGAGGAUAUUAAUUAAAUCUGAAAAGAAAAUGGGUUUUUAUUUUUCAUUUUUCAGUAAAGAGAGGUAGAUUAUUGUAGAUUAAAGAGGAAUCUAGAGAUGGAAAGGAAAUGUACUGUUUUUGUUCUUCAAAAGAGCUUUUGAUCUAGGAAAAGACCAGGAAGACCAUAGGUCCCUACAGAGAAAGGGGUAACAGGGAAGAAAAAUAGAAAAAGAGGAGACUUGAGCCUCAUGCAUAUCUUUCCUAUUCUUUGAUUUUGCCUAGAGUCUUAAAUGCUCAACAUUUUGUCAGACCUAGUGUUCUUAAUUCAGCCAGGGAGAUCAAUGGGCUAUAUCACUGCCAACAAUCAACAUAGCAGGAUUGUCCCUGCCCACUUCAGCGGCCAUAGCCUCAGACACACAGAGGCACCUUCCCCUAACUCCAACCUUAAAAAAUAUCAUUACUAGUAAAAUUAAACAAACUUUAGUGCUUUAUUUUAAAAUGGAAUACACUAUACAAAUAAAAAUACGUAAAUAUUUGUUUAGAAGGGGAAAAGCGAGAGAAAAAGAUGAGAGUGACUUAGCAGGAGGAUCUAAAGCAGAAGGGAGGUAAAAUGGAGACCAUUCCUUCAAUCUUCAGGGAAAUAAUCUUUUUUUUGGCAGAGAGGCCAAUGUUUUAUUGCUAUUGAGUUUUAAGCUAAUUGGAGUAGGAAUUUUCUCUAUUUCUGCCUUAAGUAAAAAUAAAAAUUGUUGAUGGCAGGAAUGUCUAUGUCUUAAUGUAGAAAUUUUAGUUGCAAAUGUACACCAUCAAAGUAAAGCUAGUUUUGACAUUCCUGAGGAAAGCUGAUGUAUUAGUCAGGAUUCACGGGAGGAACAGAACCAAAGGAAAUAUAUAGGUCUAUAAGAAGGGAUGUGUUAUGGGAAUUGGCUCACACAAUUCUGGAGGCUGAGAAAUCCCACGAUAUGCCGUCUGCAAGUUGGAGAACCAGGAAAGCCAGGAUGUGAUUCAGUCUGAGUAGGAAGGCCUGAGAACCAGAGGAGCCUGUGGUGUAGUUUUCAGUCUGAGGCCGAAGGCCUGAGAGCCAGGAGGGCAGCUAGUGUAAGUCUCAGAGUUCAGAGGACUGAUAACUCAGCAUUCUGAUGUCUUAGGGAAGGAGAAAGUAGUCCCAGCUCCAGCAGAGAGAGCAAAGUUUCCCUUCCUCAGCCUUUUUGUUCUGUCUGAGCCCCUCAAGGGACUGGAUCUGAAUGAUGCUUACCCAUCUGAGGGCAGGUCUUUCUUAUUCAGCCUGCUGAUUCAAAUGCUAAUCUCUUCUGGAAAUACCCUCAAAGACAUACCCAGAAAUAAUCCUUUACCAGCUACCUGGGCAUCUCUUUGCCCAGUCAGGUCGACACAAAGUUAACCUUCACAGCUGUAGAAAGCGACAUUGACUUAUUAUAGCCAGAAUGGUCUCAGGACUUCCUGAGUGUGUGUGACUAACUAACCCUACAGUUAAUGCAAGAACUGCCCCUCAUACAUGUUAGUUACCUUAACAGCCCCUCAUCCAGACCUGUCCAAGCAGCCUUUCUCUGAAUACUUGUUUCAAAGGCAGGCUUCUCAAAGAUGCAGGAAUACCAUUUAAUCUCUAGGUUGAAUAGACAGAAUUCAGUUAACAUUAGAGUAGUGAAUUCAGUUCAAGAAAAUACUUAAGCAGUAAAUUCCACUGAAAUCCUAGGGAAAGUUUGGACAUUGCCACUCCAGAGGGGAUUAGAUUUCACUUGCCUAAUUAACUUGAGGAUGAAGAUAUCAUCAGCAGCCAAGUUCUAAACAAGUACUUGCUCUUUGAUUCAGACCUUUAAAAAUUGUAUAUAUACAUUUCUUCCCCUCAGCAAUCCUUUCUUCAAAACAAGGAGAAGUUUUUUUUAAAGAUACUGCAUUCCAGGCCUACUUAACGAUCUUAUCAUAGCACUAAUUGCUAUGUACUAGUAAUGUAGCAGCUGAAUUUGUUGUUCCCUUCAACUCUGCAGGAAAUGUGAAAGUCUGUAAAAUAGCUGAUGUCUUCAGUAAUCAUCCACAUUCUGGCUAGCACUCAAGUGGACUGGGGAGACCUACUGAGGCAGGCCUAUGUUUGAGUAGGAUCCCUUUUCCUCUGUCUUGUAUCUCAGCCAAUUAUCAGGAAUGAGGACUUGUGCAUUAGUUAGUUGUUCUAUGUACAUCUAUUGAUAGCUCUCACUGUUGAGGGCUCACAGAGUAAUCUCAUCUUGGCAUUACAACCUCCCACUUCCUUUCUGAUAACUUUUGUUUUUUAAACAAUUUGCUUUAAAAUUGAUUCAAAUCUUUAUGAUUAAGGCCACCUUGGUCUUUUAUUGGCAGCUGCCCUAGGAAUCCAAGAAUUGGCCCAAGUAACCAUUUGCUAGAAAGGAAUAAAAGAGUCCCCUGAGGUGACUUGGGAAUCUCAAAACAAAUUUAUAAUUUUGAUGUGAGACCAAGAGAACUUAUCAACUCAAUUAAAAUUGCCCUAUGAUUAGCCUUCCCAUAGCCCUCUGAGUGGCCAGGUCCCAGAAAGGUCAAGCAGCCUCAAAGGAGCAUUUAAUAAAUAUUUUAGUUCCAAGAUAAUAUACAUUGCUGGAAAAGGGAAGAGAGCAAACCAGAGGCAAUAAGUAUAGCAUUCUAUUCUCUUUAGUGUCUUGGAAUCUUCAACAAAAGUUUGCCUUAUUUUGGCUAAGUAGAGAAAAUUUAUGAGCCAAGCGGGCAAUGGACAGCUGUCUAUGUAUUGUGAUUCAAUAGAAGGCUGGGCUGGGGCUCCGCCUCUAAAGUUAUAAUAUUUGCCUUCUUACUAUGGCAUCAUCUUUCUAUUGGGUUUUGGCUAGUGCACUCAAAUUGAGAACACAGCUUCACAGGCAGAACACAACACACAGAUGCAAGGUCUCCUGAUGGCAGAAAACCUUAUAACCAGAGACGGGGUUACUCCGUGUUAGCCAGGAUGGUCUCGAUCUCCUGACCUCGUGAUCCACCUGCCUUGGCCUCCCAAAGUGCUGGGAUUCUGUAAUCCCAGUGAGCCACCGCGCCUGGCCCAUCAGAUGCUUCAGGUGACUACAGCCAGCUCCAGAGGUUCCAAAGAUCUUAAAGAUGUCCCAGAAAAGUUCUAGAGUACUAUCAGAUCUCACACUUUGCCUUGGAAGCUGUCAUUCCCCUCCAUUGGCCCCACAACUGCAGUAUAAUCUUCAGUGACAGGAGAAAAUCGACCUUGUUUGUACAGAAGUCUCAGCAGGAAUAGGCAGAUGCCUGUUUUUGCUGCCAAGGAUGGAGGAUUGGAAUGGGCCCAUUAUAUAUUUUGAGGCUUUGAAGAAAAGUCUCAGGAUAUGUUUUCCCAUUAAAAUACUGUUAUAAACAAUUAGAUUUAUAGGUUGUUUAAAAUCUCAUUUCAGCCAAUUGUAGUUUUAAAAGUCAUUUGUAAUAGGCACG